GAGGAGGUGGCAGAGCCUGGUCAAAUGCGCUAGCUUGAGGGGCUAGUCCCUUAGUGGGUGCGCGUGUUCGAAUCACGUCCUCCUCA
rnacentral:tRNA from 1 species